rnacentral:rRNA from 1 species
UACGUAGGGUGCGAGCGUUGUCCGGAAUUAUUGGGCGUAAAGGGCUCGUAGGCGGUUUGUCGCGUCGGGAGUGAAAACUCAGGGCUUAACCCUGAGCCUGCUUCCGAUACGGGCAGACUAGAGGUAUGCAGGGGAGAACGGAAUUCCUGGUGUAGCGGUGAAAUGCGCAGAUAUCAGGAGGAACACCGGUGGCGAAGGCGGGUCUCUGGGCAGUAACUGACGCUGAGGAGCGAAAGCGUGGGUAGCGAACAGG